rnacentral:tRNA from 4 species
GCGCGGUGUCAGAUACUGCAGCGUAAGACAUACUCAACCUUGCCAAGGUUGGGGUCGAGGGUUCGAAUCCCUUCGCCCGCUCCA